AGCGUACACGGUGGAUGCCCUGGCAGUCAGAGGCGAUGAAGGGCGUGCUAAUCUGCGAUAAGCGCCGGUAAGGUGAUAUGAACCGUUAUAACCGGCGAUACCCGAAUGGGGAAACCCAGUGUGACUCGUCACACUAUCAUUAACUGAAUCCAUAGGUUAAUGAGGCGAACCGGGGGAACUGAAACAUCUAAGUACCCCGAGGAAAAGAAAUCAACCGAGAUUCCCCCAGUAGCGGCGAGCGAACGGGGAGGAGCCCAGAGCCUGAAUCAGCAUGUGUGUUAGUGGAAGCGUCUGGAAAGGCGCGCGAUACAGGGUGACAGCCCCGUACACAAAAGCGCAUGUGCUGUGAGCUCGAUGAGUAGGGCGGGACACGUGGUAUCCUGUCUGAAUAUGGGGGGACCAUCCUCCAAGGCUAAAUACUCCUGACUGACCGAUAGUGAACCAGUACCGUGAGGGAAAGGCGAAAAGAACCCCGGCGAGGGGAGUGAAAAAGAACCUGAAACCGUGUACGUACAAGCAGUGGGAGCACCCUUUGGGUGUGACUGCGUACCUUUUGUAUAAUGGGUCAGCGACUUAUAUUCUGUAGCAAGGUUAACCGAAUAGGGGAGCCGGAGGGAAACCGAGUCUUAAUUGGGCGUUAAGUUGCAGGGUAUAGACCCGAAACCCGGUGAUCUAGCCAUGGGCAGGUUGAAGGUUGGGUAACACUAACUGGAGGACCGAACCGACUAAUGUUGAAAAAUUAGCGGAUGACCUGUGGCUGGGGGUGAAAGGCCAAUCAAACCGGGAGAUAGCUGGUUCUCCCCGAAAGCUAUUUAGGUAGCGCCUCGUGAAUUCAUCUCCGGGGGUAGAGCACUGUUUCGGCUAGGGGGCCAUCCCGGCUUACCAACCCGAUGCAAACUGCGAAUACCGGAGAAUGUUAUCACGGGAGACACACGGCGGGUGCUAACGUCCGUCGUGAAGAGGGAAACAACCCAGACCGCCAGCUAAGGUCCCAAAGUCAUGGUUAAGUGGGAAACGAUGUGGGAAGGCCCAGACAGCCAGGAUGUUGGCUUAGAAGCAGCCAUCAUUUAAAGAAAGCGUAAUAGCUCACUGGUCGAGUCGGCCUGCGCGGAAGAUGUAACGGGGCUAAACCAUGCACCGAAGCUGCGGCAGCGACACUGUGUGUUGUUGGGUAGGGGAGCGUUCUGUAAGCCUGCGAAGGUGUGUCGUGAGGCAUGCUGGAGGUAUCAGAAGUGCGAAUGCUGACAUAAGUAACGAUAAAGCGGGUGAAAAGCCCGCUCGCCGGAAGACCAAGGGUUCCUGUCCAACGUUAAUCGGGGCAGGGUGAGUCGACCCCUAAGGCGAGGCCGAAAGGCGUAGUCGAUGGGAAACGGGUUAAUAUUCCCGUACUUGGUGUUACUGCGAAGGGGGGACGGAGAAGGCUAUGUUGGCCGGGCGACGGUUGUCCCGGUUUAAGCGUGUAGGUGUGUGUUCCAGGUAAAUCCGGUUCACUUUAACACUGAGGCGUGACGACGAGGCACUACGGUGCUGAAGCAACAAAUGCCCUGCUUCCAGGAAAAGCCUCUAAGCAUCAGGUAACAUCAAAUCGUACCCCAAACCGACACAGGUGGUCAGGUAGAGAAUACCAAGGCGCUUGAGAGAACUCGGGUGAAGGAACUAGGCAAAAUGGUGCCGUAACUUCGGGAGAAGGCACGCUGACACGUAGGUGAAGUGAUUUACUCAUGGAGCUGAAGUCAGUCGAAGAUACCAGCUGGCUGCAACUGUUUAUUAAAAACACAGCACUGUGCAAACACGAAAGUGGACGUAUACGGUGUGACGCCUGCCCGGUGCCGGAAGGUUAAUUGAUGGGGUCAGCGCAAGCGAAGCUCCUGAUCGAAGCCCCGGUAAACGGCGGCCGUAACUAUAACGGUCCUAAGGUAGCGAAAUUCCUUGUCGGGUAAGUUCCGACCUGCACGAAUGGCGUAAUGAUGGCCAGGCUGUCUCCACCCGAGACUCAGUGAAAUUGAACUCGCUGUGAAGAUGCAGUGUACCCGCGGCAAGACGGAAAGACCCCGUGAACCUUUACUAUAGCUUGACACUGAACAUUGAGCCUUGAUGUGUAGGAUAGGUGGGAGGCUUUGAAGUGUGGACGCCAGUCUGCAUGGAGCCGACCUUGAAAUACCACCCUUUAAUGUUUGAUGUUCUAACGUGGACCCGUUACCCGGGUUGCGGACAGUGUCUGGUGGGUAGUUUGACUGGGGCGGUCUCCUCCUAAAGAGUAACGGAGGAGCACGAAGGUUGGCUAAUCCUGGUCGGACAUCAGGAGGUUAGUGCAAUGGCAUAAGCCAGCUUGACUGCGAGCGUGACGGCGCGAGCAGGUGCGAAAGCAGGUCAUAGUGAUCCGGUGGUUCUGAAUGGAAGGGCCAUCGCUCAACGGAUAAAAGGUACUCCGGGGAUAACAGGCUGAUACCGCCCAAGAGUUCAUAUCGACGGCGGUGUUUGGCACCUCGAUGUCGGCUCAUCACAUCCUGGGGCUGAAGUAGGUCCCAAGGGUAUGGCUGUUCGCCAUUUAAAGUGGUACGCGAGCUGGGUUUAGAACGUCGUGAGACAGUUCGGUCCCUAUCUGCCGUGGGCGCUGGAGAACUGAGGGGGGCUGCUCCUAGUACGAGAGGACCGGAGUGGACGCAUCACUGGUGUUCGGGUUGUCAUGCCAAUGGCACUGCCCGGUAGCUAAAUGCGGAAGAGAUAAGUGCUGAAAGCAUCUAAGCACGAAACUUGCCCCGAGAUGAGUUCU
rnacentral:rRNA from 1 species